AAUUUUUACAAUGGAGAGUUUGAUCCUGGCUCAGGAUGAACGCUAGCGGCAGGCUUAAUACAUGCAAGUCGAGGGGCAGCGCGGGUAGCAAUACCUGGCGGCGACCGGC
rnacentral:rRNA from 1 species